GCCUUAUCUUUAAUUUUCUCUCUCCUUAUUUCCCUCCAAACAAAAGCAAACAUCACAAAAUUAAUUGCAAUUCACUGAGCUAACCAUACCUGAAAUUCAAUGGGUAGCAAAUUAGCCUUCUCUUUAACAAUCCCUCGUGUCUACUCUGCUCCCAUUCAAAAACCGUUCACUUCUUCUUCAAGACUUCACUCUGUUCAGCCCCAUGGAAGGAAUCUUUGUGUUCGCCGCAGAUUUCUUUUGCUGCCCAUCAAAGCCACCGCUGACCAACCAGGUAAGGUUGGAGAAGAUGAGGUUGUUGACAGUAAGAUUCUGCAGUAUUGUAGCAUAGACAAGAAAGAUAAAAAAUCAAUUGGUGAAAUGGAGCAGGAUUUUCUCCAAGCUCUGCAAUCAUUUUACUAUGAGGGAAAAGCUACAAUGUCAAAUGAAGAAUUUGAUAAUCUAAAGGAAGAAUUAAUGUGGGAAGGAAGCAGUGUUGUUAUGCUAAGUUCUGAUGAACAGAAGUUUUUGGAAGCCUCAAUGGCUUAUGUAUCUGGAAAUCCGAUCCUGAAUGAUAAAGAAUUUGAUGAAUUGAAGCUAAGGUUAAAGCAAGAAGGCAGCGAUAUUGUAGUUGAGGGUCCGCGUUGCAGUCUGCGUAGUAGAAAGGUUUACAGUGACCUAUCUGUUGACUAUUUAAAGAUGUUCCUGCUGAAUGUUCCUGCAGCUGUUGUUGCAUUAGGCUUGUUUUUCUUCUUGGAUGAUGUAACAGGAUUUGAGAUUACAUAUCUUUUGGAGCUUCCGGAGCCAUUCAGCUUUAUCUUCACAUGGUUUGCUGCAGUGCCCGUCAUAGUUUUUUUAUCCCUGUCAUUCACAAAUGCAAUAGUGAAAGACUUCAAGAUCUUGAAGGGUGCUUGUCCCAACUGUGGUACUGAGAACCAGUCCUUCUUCGGAACCAUAUUGUCGAUCUCGAGUGGCGGUACAACCAACAAUGUAAAAUGCUCAAAUUGUGGAACUGAAAUGGUGUAUGAUUCAAAGACACGAUUGAUUACACUACCAGAAGGAAGUAAUGCUUGAUUAGAGGUGCAUACAUUGUCUAUAUUAGAGUCCAUCUUCUCAGACACCCGAGUGGGAUCAGACAACAUAUGGAAUGCAGAUAAUAAUGCUACUAACAAUUAAAGUUGGAAGCGAGGAAAUUUAACCUUAUGUUCCAAUGUGGCUGAUCAAAUGUUGAGAGGAAAUUUUCAGUUGUGUACUCUGUAAUGAUCUAUAUUUUUGUGUUAAUAUUGUAACAAUAUGUAAAUGCUUCAUACAUGGUCCUAGUAAAAGCUUAUUCACAAAAGAACAACAGCAUAAAUGUAAUCAUGUACAGUUUAGCCA